AAGUCGUAACAAGGUUUCCGUAGGUGAACCUGCGGAAGGAUCAUUAAAAAAGAGAUAAUUUUACACCGAGCAAGAGAAGACACAAAAAUAUAUAUUAGUUGAUUUUAAUAAAAACAACUUUUAGCAACGGAUCUCUAGGUUCUC
rnacentral:misc_RNA from 1 species